CGAACUGGGGAUAUCGCCACACUGUCCUUGGCGAAGGGGAAGGUCUGGGGGGCCAAGUUCCUAGAGGAAUUAGACAAGCUCCUUUGGGAGAACGACUUCGUCGUUGUUAGAGAUGCGGGG
rnacentral:ribozyme from 1 species